UUAUCGGGAGAGACUAGAAAAAUAGCGCCGAAGGAGCAACCGCCCCGGAAACUCUCAGGCAAAAGGACCGAAAAAU
rnacentral:ncRNA from 1 species